rnacentral:tRNA from 2 species
GCCGAUGUGGCGAAAUGGUAGACGCAGUUGACUCAAAAUCAUCCGGGGCGACCCGUGUCGGUUCGAAUCCGACCAUCGGCA